rnacentral:lncRNA from 1 species
AAUUGUGGGACAACUGCAUGGCCGAGCAUAUGUGCAAGCUGUUUGGCGAGGUUCCGUUUGAGACCUUCAAGAACGAUACGCCAAGUGAGUUCAGUGGUUAAGACUUUUCCUUGGAACAUGUACAACUAUGUUAGGGGGGUAUUGAGGAGGGUAGGAUCCAGGCUGGAAUUGGGGAAGAGCUCACAAUUGUCACAGAAAUGGCCACGGGAAAGCUAUCAUGAUUCGUCAGCCCAACUGAGCGAGUGAGUUUCCACUCGACCUCACCCACUGGGACGCGUCUGUGAUCCCAUAUGCCAGAUGCAUCUGUGGAUGGGGUUCGCUACCGCUAUAGCUACUUCACCACCUUUUACGAUGACUUCAGCUGUGCAUAGCAGUGAAGAGUACACUGGUACCUGAUGAUGCUGUUCGUGAAGUUUUGCAGCGGUGGGAAAGACAGACCGGUGUAGAGGUUCAUCGUGUUUUAAGUCAUUGUGAGACCGAGUGUGUUAAGUCAAUAAGAGCCAUACCAGAGUCAUCCCAUGUAUUUUUCCGGAUAGUGUCGUCGUGCAUGGGAAGUCCAGCUCCAUACACAGCAGAGCAGAACGGAACAGCAAAG